GACAGAGGUGCCAAGCGUUAGGCGGAAUCACUGGGCUUAAAGCGUGUGUAGGCGGGCGAUCAAGUACCUUGUGAAAUCCCGCGGCUCAACCGUGGAACUGCCUUAGAUACUGACGGCCUCGAGGGAGAUAGGGGCAUGCGGAACUGUAGGUGGAGCGGUGAAAUGCGUUGAUAUCUACAGGAACUCCGGUGGCGAAGGCGGCGUGCUGGAUCUCUUCUGACGCUGAGGCGCGAAAGCUAGGGGAGCAAACGGG
rnacentral:rRNA from 1 species